GCCCCGGUGGCGUAAUGGCAGCCGCGCUGGUCUUAGAAACCAGUGCCUUCGGGCGUGUCGGUUCAAGUCCGACCUGGGGCACCA
rnacentral:tRNA from 1 species